AAACCUAUGGAAAUGAAACGUCAACAAAA
rnacentral:sRNA from 1 species